rnacentral:rRNA from 1 species
GUAGGGGGCAAGCGUUAUCCGGAUUUAUUGGGUGGAAAGGGUGGGUAGACGGGAAAUUAAGUUAGUUGGGAAAGCCCUCGGCUUAACUGAGGAAUUGCAACUAAAACUGGUUUUCUUGAGUGGAGGAGAGGUAAGUGGAAUUCCUAGUGGAGGGGUGAAAUGCGUAGAUAUUAGGAGGAACACCAGUGGCGAAGGCGACUUACUGGACCGCAACUGACGUUGAGGCACGAAAGUGUGGGGAGCAAACAGGAUUAGAUACCCUGGUAGUCCACACCGUAAACGAUGGAUACUAGGUGUAGGGUGGAUUAAACAUUCUGGGGCGUCGCAAACGCAGUAAGUAUCCCACCUGGGGAGUACGGGCGCAAGGGUG